rnacentral:lncRNA from 1 species
CACCAUCGCCGCCACCAUCAAUCUCAAACAACACCACAAAUAAUAUCGUCCAAAAAGUACAAAAUAAAACCUAGAAAUCAAUUAGCAGAAGCAAAUAUUCUGAAUCAUUUGGCUAUAUUUCAGAGCAAAAUUGGGGGCCAUUUUUCACUAUCACUCUCUUAAUUAAUUGGAACUAGUUAGAAAUGGCGAAAACCUCCGAAUUUGCACGUGUUAAGUUAUCAGAAAAACCAUCCCCGAGCCAAGUCGCCAACUUAACGAUUUCAAACCCUUCGCUCGCCAACUAUCUCAGAGCCUUAUUCUCGCAUAACCUCUUCAGAGCCUUCGCCAAGGCCUCCAUCUCCAUCGCGUCGAAGAACACAUUUGAUAUGAGCACUAAAUCCACCUCUCCCAACUCUUCAAGUUGAGCACGAAAUCCACCUCCCCACACGUGUUGACUUAUCGAGACUCGAUUUCCCAGUGGAAAGGAUCAAAGCAGAGUCCCCAAGUUCAACCAAUUAGGUAGGCGUAGGGGUAGGAAUGUGGGUGGGAGUGGCACCAGCAAUGGCGAUGCCAGGGCUGGUGGUUGUUUG